rnacentral:antisense_RNA from 2 species
CUUCAGGGAGCCCAGGUACAGCGGCUUGUCCGCCGUGUGCUCCUGGCCGUAGGUGUUCAGCAGCGCCUGGGCCUC